rnacentral:rRNA from 1 species
AUUAGGUGGAUAGCUUGGCUUGAGAGGCGAAGAAGGAUGUGACAAGCUGCAUUAAGCCUAGGCGAGGUGCAUGUAACCUUUGAACCUAGGAUCUCCGAAUGUGACUUCACAAUAAGUCCUAACGGACAGCGAACGCGGGGGAUGGAAACAUCUUAGUACCCGCAGGAAAAGAAAUCAAUUGAGAUGCUGUGAGUAUCAGCGAGAGAAAGCAGCACAGGGCAAACUGAAUCUGUUACAGUAAUGUAAUAGAGAUGUGGUGUUUUGGACAUUCUUUUGACCCUAAUUAGCUUAGUUGAACUCUCCUGGAAUGGAGGACGGAAAAGGGUGAUAGUCCCGUAGAUUAAGGCUAAUGGGCUUUGAAUGUAUCCAGAGUACUGCCUCUUGGAUAUGAGGUAGGAAUUUGGGGGCCAUCAACCUCCAACCCUAAAUACUCCUCAAGACCGAUAGCGCAGAAGUACCGCGAGGGAAAGCUGAAAAGAACUCUUGGCAGAGAGUUAAAAGACCUUGAAACCUAAUAGUUAUAGUGGGAUAGUCCUCUUAGGAGGCCUAUCGUGCGUUUUGAAUAACGUGCCAGGGAGUAUAUCUGUGUGGCGAGCAUAAUCCUGUUAAGGGAGCAUGCGAAGGGAAACCAAUUUUCGCGCAAGCAAUGAGGCGAAUGGUAUGAAAGUGCCAUGUAGUCACAUGGAUACGACCCGAAACCGGGUGAUCUAAUCUUGGGUAGGGUGAAGCCCCCGUAAAAAGGGGUGGAGGCCCGAAGAAGUUCUGCGUGCAAGCGUUUUUCUAACUUGAGAUUAGGGGUGAUAAGCCCAUCGAACCCGGUGAUAGCUGGUUCCGAUCGAAAUUGGCCGCAGUCAAGCCUGGAGGGAGAUAGUAUUACAGGUAGAGAGACGGAUUGGGGAUUUAGGGCCUUAACAGGCUCGGUCUCUUGUCCAACUCCGAAUGGUAAUACAUUGUAGAUCUCUGGAGACGGGGGAGCGGGGUAAACUCGUUCUCCUCGAGGGAAACAACCCAGACCAUGGUUAAGGUCCCUAAAUGCUAUUUGAGUGCUAUGGGGCGAAGAUCGUUUACAACCAAAGACAGCGAGGAGGUUUGCUUAGAAGCAGCAAUCCUUUAAAAAGUGCGUAACAGCUUACUCGUCAAGGUUGUAAGCAUCCAAAAUGGACGGGGCUAAAUUAGCUACCGAUACCAUGGAGUACAGCAAUGUAUCUGGUAGGUCGGUGUACUGUUAGGGUAGAAGCAUGCUCACGCGAGUAUGUGGACCUGACUGUAAUAAAAAUCCUGGCGGUAGUAGGAUCUUAGCAGAUUGAGAAUAUCUGCCACUGAAAGGGCAAGGGUUCCUUGGCAAUGUAGAUCAGCCAAGGGUUAGUCGAUCCUAACCGAGCUCGGAAAACGAGUGUGUUCGGGAAAGGGAAACAGGUUAAUAUUCCUGUACUUAUCAAGUAUGUGUGGCAACACAAGUUUGACUUUGGACGUUUUUGGCUAGACCGACAGUGAUAAACUGUUAAUAAGCAUAAAUCAAGGGAGUAUCAUUAUGAUGAGAACUUGAUUAAAGCUUAGAAUAGUAUCACUUAAGUGGUAUUCGGUUGAUGCCUGGAACCCGUGAAAACAGAGUCAAAACAAAUCUUGAUAACUCGUACCAAGAACCAGCACUGGUGCCCCUAGGUGAGAAGCCUAAAGUGUGAAAGGAUAAUCUAGGUAAGGGAACUCGGCAAAUUGGCCCCGUACCUUCGGAAUAAGGGGUCCCUGGUUUCGUGAACGUAUGUUUGCGAUUUCAGGGUGCAAAAACCAAGGACGACCGACUGUUUAACAAAAACACAACUUACUGCUAAGCCGUAAGGCCUUGUAUAGUAGGUGACGUCUGCUCAGUGUCAGUAUCUAAAACUCCUUUUCAAGGGAGCUAAGGACUGAUAAACAGCGGGGGUAACUAUAACUCUCUUAAGGUAGCGAAAUACCUUGUCGUUUGAUUGACGACGUGCAUGAAUGGCGUAACGAGUUGUCCACUGUCCCUAUCUAGAACCUUCUGAACACUCUCUUCGGUGUGAAGGCCGAAGACUCCCAGUGGGUCGUGAAGACCCCGUGAAACUUUACUGUAGCCUGUUAUUUCGACGCGAGCCUUGAUGUGUAGGGUAAGUGGAAGACGUUUGAGGCCUGGCUGCCAGGUCAGGUUUAGUCGAAAGAUGAAACACCACUCUUUGAGGCUUACGCCGAUCAUCAAUUGUAUUGAAACAGUAGCAGGUGGACAGUUUAGCUGGGGCGGCAUACCCAUGAAAGUAUAUCAUGGGUGCCCAAUGGUCGGCUCAACCGGGUCAGAAAUCCGGUGUAGAGUGCAAGGGCAAAAGCCGGCCUAACUGGAUUCUUAACAAGACGGAUUUCAGUAGGGAAACCUGGGCCUAGCGAACCACGAUAGCUCCUUGAUGGGGCUUCGUGCUGACCGAAAAGUUACUCCGGGGAUAACAGGGUUGUCGCGCCCGAGAGUUCACAUCGACGGCGCGGCUUGCUACAUCGUUGUCGGCUCUUCCUAUCCUGGGCGUGCAGAAGCGUCCAAGGGUGGGGGUGUUCACCCAUUAAAAGGGAUGUUAGCUGGGUUCACAACGCUGUGAGGCAGUUGGUUUAAUAACUACUGGGAGUGCGCAAUGUCUGAAAGGAAGAAGCAUUUAGUACGAGAGGAACGAUGCUUCGUCGCCUCUGGUCGACCAGUUAUCUUACAAGGUAUGCUGGGCAGCUACGCGAUAAGGGAUAAUGGCUGAAAGCAUCUAAGCCAGAAACCCUCCUUGAAAAGAGACAUGAGGAAUACUCAUAGAAGAUGAGUUUGAUGGAACUGGGGUGUAAGCACCAAGGUAACGAGGUGUUCAGCCUGCAGUCCCCAACA